rnacentral:rRNA from 1 species
UACAGAGGGGGCAAGCGUUGUUCGGAAUUACUGGGCGUAAAGGGCGCGUAGGCGGCCUUCUAAGUCGAACGUGAAAUCCCUGGGCUCAACCCAGGAACUGCGUCCGAUACUGGAAGGCUUGAAUCCGGGAGAGGGAUGCGGAAUUCCAGGUGUAGCGGUGAAAUGCGUAGAUAUCUGGAGGAACACCGGUGGCGAAGGCAGCAUCCUGGACCGGUAUUGACGCUGAGGCGCGAAAGCCAGGGGAGCAAACGGG